rnacentral:rRNA from 1 species
UGCCAGACUCCUACGGGAGGCAGCAGUGAGGAAUAUUGGUCAAUGGCCGGAAGGCUGAACCAGCCAAGCCGCGUGAAGGACGAAGGUGCCAAGCAUUGUAAACUUCUUUUGUCAAGGGACAAAAUCAGGCUCGAGAGCCUGACCGAGGGUACUUGAAGAAAAAGCAUCGGCUAACUCCGUGCCAGCAGCCGCGGUAAUACGGAGGAUGCGAGCGUUAUCCGGAUUUAUUGGGUUUAAAGGGUGCGUAGGCGGGACCUUAAGUCAGCGGUAAAAUUGCGGUGCUCAACGCCGUAGAGCCGUUGAAACUGGGGUUCUUGAGUGAGCGAGAAGUAUGCGGAAUGCGUGGUGUAGCGGUGAAAUGCAUAGAUAUCACGCAGAACCCCGAUUGCGAAGGCAGCAUACCGGCGCUCAACUGACGCUGAGGCACGAAAGUGCGGGUAUCGAACAGGAUUAGAUACCCGGGUACU